GCCCAACCCAUUUCACCUCCUCCUUCCUUCACUCGCCGUUUCGCGUAGCCUCACAAGCCUCCUCCAUUCUCUCCCUCUCUCUCCCUCUCUCUUUCUUUCUCUCUCUCUCCCUCCGAUCCCCGAAAUCUCUCGAUUUCGCUAACACAAUCUUCUUCUCCUCUACUGUUUUCCAUCAAUCUCUGGAUCUGAAUCACUCCAAUUGAUUUCUCAGCUGAUUGAUUCGUCGAUAUCCAGCUGUUGAAGCGUAACCCUAAAUCCGGAACCUCCGGUGUUCCCAGGGCACCUGCGGGGUUAAGAAUCGGGGGCUUUUGUUGUUCGGUUCGUGACUUUUGAUCUGAGGGUGGAUCUACUCUAGGGUUUCGCGCAGCCCAAAUUCUGAGCGUCUAGGGUUUUUGCGGAACCGGGGCUCGAAUUCGAUUGGAAUUGAUGUUUCUCGCCGAGGAUGACGAAGGUGUGAUCUGUGCCAUAAUCAACGGCGAUGGAGGACUAUGCAUGGGAGGAUAUGUGAGCAGAGGCAUCAGAGGCGGCACAUGUGGCCGGUCCCUGCGCCCACGACUGUAGCUGCUGAUUCUGCUUCCGUUUCGCCUGAUUUUUUCUCGAAAGAUGGACGCAAGAUUUGUAUUGGUGACUCUGCACUUUUCAAGCCGCCUCAGGAUUCUCCACCUUUCAUUGGAAUAAUUCGUAGGUUAAUAGCAGGCAAAGAAGAGGGACUUAAGUUAGGUGUGAAUUGGCUUUAUCGACCCGCUGACAUAAAGCUUGCAAAAGGCAACUUGCUGGAAGCGGCUCCAAACGAGAUCUUCUACUCCUUUCACAAGGAUGAGAUACCUGCUGCAUCGUUACUUCAUCCGUGUAAAGUCGCAUUUCUUCGUAAAGGUGUUGAACUUCCUUCAGGGAUAUCCUCAUUUGUGUGCAGAAGAGUGUAUGAUAUUGAGAACAAAUGUUUAUGGUGGCUAACUGACCAGGAUUAUAUUAAUUUAUCUUUUCAAACACAGGAACGACAGGAAGAAGUAGAUCAGCUAUUAGACAAGACGCGGCAAGAAAUGCAUGGGGCAGUGCAGUCGGGUGGCCGUUCUCCAAAACCUUUGAAUGGUCCGACAUCUACACCACAGCUGAAGCCUAGUGCAGAUAGUGUGCAGAAUACUUCCUCCCCCAUUUCUUCUCAGGCUAAGGGAAAGAAGAGGGAGCGGGUUGAUCAGUGCUCUGAUCCCGUUAAACGGGAGCGAUUAUCUAAAAUAGAUGAUGGGGAUUCUGGUCAAUUUAGACCAGACAGCAUGUUAAAGUCUGAGAUUGCUAAAAUAACAGAGAAAGGAGGGCUUGUGGACCUUGAAGGAGUUGAGAAACUAGUGCAACUAAUGCAACCUGAUAGUGCAGAGAAGAAAAUUGAUUUGGCUGGCCGAAUAAUGCUUGUUGAUGUAAUUGCAGUUACAGAUAGAUUUGAUUGUCUUGGACGGUUUGUACAGCUCAGGGGCUUGCCUGUAUUAGAUGAAUGGCUCCAAGAAGUCCAUAAAGGAAAGAUUGGUGAUGGUGUUAGCCCUAAGGAAAGUGACAAAUUUGUAGAGGAAUUUCUUUUGGCUCUACUUCGUGCACUAGAUAAGCUGCCUGUAAAUCUUGAUGCGCUACAGACUUGUAAUGUUGGCAAGUCUGUGAAUCAUUUACGGAGUCAUAAAAAUUCCGAAAUUCAGAAGAAAGCUAGAAGCUUAGUUGACACGUGGAAGAAACGUGUUGAAGCUGAAAUGAAUAUGAUAGAUGCAAAAUCUGGUUCAAAUCGUGGUGUUUCAUGGCCUGCCAAAUCAGUGUCUUCUGAAGGUUCUCAUGUUGGGACCAGGCGGGUGGGGGGAUCCUCUGAGGUUGGCAUCAAGAAUUCCAGCAUACAGCCUUCUGCAUCUAAAGCUCCACAAGUGAAGGUUGGUCCCGGGGAAGCUGUUUCCAAGUUUUCCCCUGUCGCAUCUCCUGGCUUAACUAAAUCACCUGCAUCGUUGACUACGGCUGCAGCUAGUAACUUGAAGGAUGCAAAUUGCAAAAUGAAUGUUGGUAGUGGAGCCUCAGAUUUGCCUCUAACAACAAUCAAAGAGGAGAGGAGCAGCAGUUCAAGUCAGUCUCAGAAUAAUAGUCAAUCCUAUUCUUCUGAUCAUGUGAGAACUGUGGGUUCUUGCAGGGAAGAUGCAAGAAGCUCCACUGCUGGGUCAGGAAGUGUGAAUAAGAUCUCUGGUGGUGGUUCUCGCCAUCGGAAAUCAAGCAAUGGCCUUUCUGGUUCCGCCAUUGCAGGAGUUCAAAAGGAAUCUGGGUUGGGAAAAUUCAGUUCAGCCAAUAAUAGGAAUUUGUCAUCUGAGAAGGUGUUACCAGCUGGAGUAACGUAUGAGAAAGUACCUGAUAUGCCUCUUGAUCAUGGAAAUAAUCAGCGGUUAAUUGUUAGAUUGCCAAACACUGGUCGUAGUCCUGCUCAAAGUGCCAGUGGGGGUUCUUUUGAGGAACCUGCUGCUACUAUUUGUAGAUCUUCCCCUCCUUCACAUUCUGAAAGGAAUGAUCACCAUGAACGAAAAUUCAGGGGAAAAAGUGAUGUUUCACGAGCUAGUAUUGUACCAAACGUGAACACGGAGUUUGGUCAGGUCAGGGAUGGAGUGGGUGGGGCUGAUGAAGCCAAUGGAUCACCUUCAGCUGUUGAUCAACACAGGGUUAGUGAGGAUUGUGAGAAACCAAUAGAUGUACCAAGAACUACUGGUUCAUCAUCAGGAAUUGCACCCAAGUCAGCGAAAUCAUAUGAUGCUUCUUUUAGCUCCAUAAAUGCCUUGAUUGAAAGUUGUGUCAAGUUCUCUGAAGCUAGUGCCUCUGCAUCAGCUGGGGAUGAUGUUGGGAUGAACCUGCUUGCCAGUGUGGCUGCUGGAGAAAUAUCCAAGCCAGAUAUUGUCUCGCCACUGGUCUCUCCCAAGAGAAAUUCACCCAUCCCAGAGGACUCUUGUUCAGGAAGUGAUGCCAAAUUGAAACAAUUGGAUGGAGCUGUUGCUCGGAGCCGCAGUCAGCCUGAUGAGGGCGUGACUGCUGGGGCUAUUGCAGUUCAGGGUGAUGCUGUUGAAUCGUCACUGGUAAAGAAUGAAUUACAACAUUCUUCUAACCCCAAGUCACCCAACUUCUCUGGUGAUGGCAGUGUCACUUUGCUUGGUUGUGAAGAGAAAAUAGGGGAACACAAGGGACAAUUGAAUUUAGUUAGUGUGGAUUUGCAGCGAAAUGCAGAUGGUCCGUGCUUGACAUCUGAUGGGAAAUCCCAUGAACUAAAAUGUGGUACUUCUGCAGGUUUAGCUUCUGGGGAUGGUACAAAAGAUGGUAAUAGGGAUAGCAUGGGAGCAAACCAGCUACAUGAGCAAAGAAAGGCAGGUGUUGUCAGGGCUGGAAGCGCCAGUAUAUUAGAUUCUAAAUUGAAGGUAAGAAGUCCCUUGCAUGAUGAAGAUAAGAAGGUUGAUUGUGCAGAUGAAAAACCUGUGGGGAAUGUUGAAGCAGCGGCAUCAGAAGGAGCAGCUGUUAUGAGUACUAAGGUUGAGAAGGAAGCUAAUGAUGAUUCACCUUCUUGCUCAUCCUCCGAAGUGAGUGGCAAGAACAAGAAUUCUAUGUAUAAUGAGUUAACUAGUGCCAUCUUAUUUGAUCAGAAGCCCCCUCCUGCAGUGAAGACUCACACUGACAUGGAGAGAAAAAGUGAGGUUGUUGUACAGCUUUCUGGCUCUGGUAAUACUGCGUGUAAGGAUUCAGAUGCUGGGAAGUGUGAUGACAUAAAGACGAGGAAUUCUGCUGAGCAGAGUGAGAAACAAAAGGUGGAUCUAGGUUCAUCUGUUUCAGAUCAGAACAGUGAGCAUGAUGAGAUGAAUUCUGAAAGAAUGGAGGUUCUUGGAAACUGUGCUGGUGGCAUAGUCCCAAAUGAAGAAUCAUCAGCAGUUUUGCAUGGAACUAAUAAGUGUGUGAAAUCAGGUGGGUCUAAGUUAGCUAGAGUUGAAGCUGAUGGGAAGGUGGAGCCUGCUUCCAGUGUGAACGCUUCUAAUGCAAGGUCAGGUAUGGUGGUAAAGCUGGACUUUGAUUUAAAUGAAGGCCUUCCUGGGGAUGAUGGUAUUCAAGGGGAUCUUAAAUCACCGGUUCCAGGAAAUUCUUCUGCUGUUCAUUUGCCUUGCCCAUUGCCAGUUCCCUAUUCUUCCAUGUCUGGGAGCUUCCCUGCUUCAAUUACUGUUGCUGCUGCUGCCAAGGGGUCAUUUGUUCCUCCUGAAAACCUUCUGAGGAGUAAGGGGGAACUUGGAUGGAAAGGAUCAGCGGCAACCAGUGCAUUUCGGCCGGCUGAGCCUAGAAGGAUUCUGGAGAUGCCACUCAGUUCAACAGAUGUUCCUCUUGCUGAUGCAAGUGUCAGCAAACAAGGCCGCGUUCCUUUGGACAUUGACCUAAAUGUGCCUGACCAGAGAACUCUAGAGGAUGUGUCAUAUCAGAAUCCUGUAAGAGUAUCCUCCUCUGAAACUGGGUCCCGUGAACGUGGUGCGGGGUUGCUUGAUCUUGAUCUGAACAGAGCCGAUGAGAGUGCUGAUAUGGCUCAGUUUGUAGCGAGCAAUGGUUGUAGAUCAGAAAUUUCAUCUUUGCCAGGGAGAUCAUCCUUAUCUGGUGGAUUUUCUAAUGGUGAAAUGAGUGUUUCAAGGGACUUUGAUUUAAACAAUGGACCUGGUCCGGAUGAAGUGGGCACAGAAAUAGCAGCACGCAGCCAUAAUGUCAAAAGCAAUGUGCCAUUCCUAUCUCCUGUUCCUGGUCUCAGAAUGAGCAGUUCUGACUUGGGAAACUUUUCAUCUUGGUUUCCUCCAGGCAACUCUUAUUCAGCCCUGACAAUUCCAUCAAUCUUGUCUGGCAGAGGAGAACAGGGUUAUCCUGUUGCUGCUGCUGCUGCUGCUGCUGGGUCACAAAGGAUUCUGGGUCCUCCUAUUGGUAGUACCACAUUUGCCCCUGAAAUCUACAGGGGCCCAGUGCUAUCAUCGUCUCCUGCAGUGGCAUAUCCACCCACCGCUCCAUUUCAAUACCCAGGAUUCCCAUUUGAGGCCAGUUUUCCUCUUUCUUCAAAUUCCUUUUCUGGCUGUUCAACAGGAUAUGCUGAUUCUUCUUCUGGUGGCCCACUUUGCUUCCCUGCAAUCCCUUCACAGUUGGUGGGGCCUGCUGGCUUAGUGUCUUCUCAUUACCCUCGUCCUUACGUUAUGAACCUUGCGGGUGGUACUAGUAACGUUGUUACUGAAAGCAAGAGAUGGGGAGGUCAGGGGCUAGAUCUCAAUGCAGGUCCUGGAACUACAGAUGUUGAGAGGAGAGAUGAGAGGAUGCCAUUAAGACAGCUUCCUGUUGCCAGUUCGCAAGCCAUGGUGGACGAACAACUGAAGAUGUAUCAACAGGUGGCGGGCGGAGUUUUGAAGAGAAAGGAACCCGAUGGUGGUUGGGAUGCAGAUAGAAGCUAUAAGCAACCCUCAGGGAAGUAGGAAUAAGAAGACAUUAUGGAACAAUGCGACAAACUUGUUAUGGCUUGGCACAAAUGCAUCUUUGAAUGGAGGGAGUGCAGAAAAUGGAGUCAUCACCAACAAUGAUUCUUUUUUGUGAUUUGUGCUGGGAGACUCCAGGAGUGGAUAAUUUAACUAGCUGGGUUCCGAACGACGGUGGCUAUAAAAGAAAGAGAGAUUUAAAGAAUUCAUUCCUCACCCACCCCACCGACCGCACACCAAUUCUAACAAACAAUUAGAAAAUGGGUGGGGACUCCCUGGAGGCGUCUGUAUUUUGAUCAAAUCUUUGUUCCGAAAGAGAGUGGCCUCUGGCAGUACAAUCCCCCUUCCCUUUUCUUUUCUUGUAGAUAUUUAACUUUGGAAAAAAGCAUAAUGUUGUUUGGCCCUGCCCUGCCCCAGAAACCCCUUCAAUUCGGUGCCCGGCUGAUGGACGCUGUGUGUCCUGUCAGCUCAAAUUCCUGCACCUGCGCGACUCCCUUAUCAAUCCUUUAUUUUGCUGGGAGAGGAUUGGAUGUAUGAACUGCCCAGGCAGAUGCCGGUUUGUAUCUUCUUUUGCUUUUCUUUUCUUUUCUUUUCCUUUUAAUUAAAUUUGUUUUUGUUACAUAAUAGUUAUUACCUCAGUCUUAAACUUCAAAAUUUUGUUAAUCAAAUUUUCAUUAUUGAGAAA